UACAGAGGGGGCAAGCGUUAUUCGGAAUUAUUGGGCGUAAAGGGCGCGUAGGCGGCUCGGCAAGUGGAUGGUGAAAUCCCUCGGCUUAACCGAGGAACUGCCGUCCAAACUGCUUCGCUUGAGACCGGGAGAGGUGAGUGGAAUUCCCAGUGUAGCGGUGAAAUGCGUAGAUAUUGGGAGGAACACCAGUGGCGAAGGCGGCUCACUGGACCGGUACUGACGCUGAUGCGCGAAAGCGUGGGGAGCAAACAGG
rnacentral:rRNA from 1 species